rnacentral:rRNA from 1 species
AGAGGAAGUUUUAGAUGGAAUCUAUUAUGACUGAGCGGCGGACGGGUGAGUAACGCGUGGGGAACCUGCCCUAUACAGGGGGAUAACAGUUAGAAAUGACUGCUAAUACCGCAUAAGCGCACGGAGCCGCAUGGCGCUGAGUGAAAAACGAUAGUGGUAUAGGAGGGACCCGCGUCUGAUUAGGUAGUUGGUGGGGUAACGGCCCACCAAGCCGACGAUCAGUAGCCGACCUGAGAGGGUGACCGGCCACAUUGGGACUGAGACACGGCCCAAACUCCUACGGGAGGCAGCAGUGGGGAAUAUUGCACAAUGGGGGAAACCCUGAUGCAGCGACGCCGCGUGAGUGAAGAAGUAUUUCGGUAUGUAAAGCUCUAUCAGCAGGGAAGAAGAAGGACGGUACCUGAGUAAGAAGCCCCGGCUAACUACGUGCCAGCAGCCGCGGUAAUACGUAGGGGGCAAGCGUUAUCCGGAUUUACUGGGUGUAAAGGGAGCGUAGACGGCGAAGAAAGUCUGAAGUGAAAGCCCGCGGCUCAACCGCGGAAUGGCUUUGGAAACUUUUUUGCUGGAGUACCGGAGAGGUAAGCGGAAUUCCUAGUGUAGCGGUGAAAUGCGUAGAUAUUAGGAGGAACACCAGUGGCGAAGGCGGCUUACUGGACGGUAACUGACGUUGAGGCUCGAAAGCGUGGGGAGCAAACAGGAUUAGAUACCCUGGUAGUCCACGCGGUAAACGAUGAAUGCUAGGUGUUGGUGGACAAAGUCCAUCGGUGCCGUCGCAAACGCAGUAAGCAUUCCACCUGGG